GGGGGUGACUGGACUCGACUCAGAAUGAGGUUCUUUGAGAGGCAGGUCCAGUGGCGGAGCUGGUAAAAAACCGCAAAAAAGAUAAGUGCAGCGCCAAUUUUUAACGCAGGGUUUGUUGCUCCUAUGGGAGUAGCUCCUGUGGCAAUGGCAACUCCUGCCUUGGUAAAUUAAGGCAGGGCUCUUAUCUUUCUUGCCUGAGGGAAGAUAGGGGUUAACUUUCAGGCUCUUUUCUGCUUUUGCCUCGGAAGCAGAAAGAAACAAAGAGGCUGGGUCAAAGAAGGUUUUGCUGGUUGAGCCUGCUUUGACUGAGAUUAAUCAACCUGCUAAGCCUGUAGAAUCUCAAGGAAGUUCUUCUGAGGACGCGGGUUCGAAUCCCGCCACCUCCACCA
rnacentral:tmRNA from 1 species